rnacentral:tRNA from 1 species
GCCCCCAUCGUCUAGUCUGGUUAGGACGCCAGCCUUUCAAGCUGGAGAUCAGGGGUUCGAAGCCCCUUGGGGGCACCA